rnacentral:rRNA from 1 species
UACGUAGGGUGCGAGCGUUAAUCGGAAUUACUGGGCGUAAAGCGUGCGCAGGCGGUGAUGUAAGACCGAUGUGAAAUCCCCGGGCUUAACCUGGGAACUGCAUUGGUGACUGCAUUGCUGGAGUAUGGCAGAGGGGGGUGGAAUUCCACGUGUAGCAGUGAAAUGCGUAGAGACGUGGAGGAACACCGAUGGCGAAGGCAGCCCCCUGGGCCAAUACUGACGCUCAUGCACGAAAGCGUGGGGAGCAAACAGG